rnacentral:rRNA from 1 species
AUUGAACGCUGGCGGCAUGCCUUACACAUGCAAGUCGAACGGCAGCACGGGAGCAAUCCUGGUGGCGAGUGGCGAACGGGUGAGUAAUGUAUCGGAACGUGCCCAGUCGUGGGGGAUAACGUAGCGAAAGCUACGCUAAUACCGCAUACGAUCUAUGGAUGAAAGCGGGGGAUCGCAAGACCUCGCGCGAUUGGAGCGGCCGGUAUCAGAUUAGGUAGUUGGUGGGGUAAAGGCUCACCAAGCCGACGAUCUGUAGCUGGUCUGAGAGGACGACCAGCCACACUGGGACUGAGACACGGCCCAGACUCCUACGGGAGGCAGCAGUGGGGAAUUUUGGACAAUGGGCGCAAGCCUGAUCCAGCAAUGCCGCGUGCAGGAUGAAGGCCUUCGGGUUGUAAACUGCUUUUGUACGAAACGAAACGGCGAGCUCUAAUACAGUUUGCUAAUGACGGUACCGUAAGAAUAAGCACCGGCUAACUACGUGCCAGCCGCCGCAGUAA